AACGCACGAGACCUGCGGACCUGCGGAGGGAUCAUUACCGAGUUUACAACUCCCAAACCCCAAUGUGAACGCUACCAAACUGUUGCCUCGGCGGGAUCUCUGCCCCGGGCGCGUCGCAGCCCCGGACCAAGGCGCCCGCCGGAGGACCAAACCAAAAACACCUGUAUUACCCCCUCGCGGGUUUUUCCAAACAAUCUGAGCCUUCUCGGCGCCCCCUCGCGGGCGUGCCGAAAACGAAUC
rnacentral:misc_RNA from 1 species